UAACCCAAUUUCGUCCAGAGUUAGAACUAUGCCCACAUGUCAAAGAAGACAUCAUGGCCAUAACAUGGGAGGGCCAAUUUAGAUAUUAAGUUACAAGAAUGGCUUACGGGCAUUUUUGGUAGAAUUAACUCAUAAUUUUUUGUUUUCCUUUUUUGAAUUGUUUAGCAGUAGGAAUCCAAUAAUAAUGACAAUCUCAAAUGUCAAUUGAUCAG
rnacentral:lncRNA from 1 species